GACAGGAAGACUACGUGAUCCGAGGUCACCUGGAACUCCCAUCGGUGUCUAUUGUACCCUGUUGCUUCGGCGGGUUGGCCGCUUGUCGGCCGUCGGGCCCGCGCCUCUGCCCCGGGCCCGUGCCCGCCGGAGACCCCAACACGAACACUGUCUGAAAGCGUGCAGUCUGAGUUGAUUGAAUGCAAUCAGUUAAAACUUUCAACAAUGGAUCUCUUGGUUCCGGCAUCGAUGAAGAACGCAGCGAAAUGCGAUAACUAAUGUGAAUUGCAGAAUUCAGUGAAUCAUCGAGUCUUUGAACGCACAUUGCGCCCCCUGGUAUUCCGGGGCACAUGCCUGUCCGAGCGUCAUUGCUGCCCUCAAGGCCGGCUUGUGUGUUGGGUCGCCGUUUCCCUCUCCGGGGGGACGGGCCCGAAAGGCAGCGGCGGCACCGCGUCCGAUCCUCGAACGUAUGGGGCAUUGUCACAUGCUCUGUAGGAUUGGCCGGCGCCUGCCCACGCUUUCCAACCAUUUCCUUCCAGGUUGACCUCGGAUCAGGUAGGGAUACCGGCUGAACUGCAUAUCAAUAUGCCGAGGAUUUUACUCUACUCACAAGUUGUAACUCUUGCCUCCCCCCUUUACAUUUGCUAUUAUACCCCCCCUUCUUCACAUUUCCCUCCCGCCAGGACCCCUAUC
rnacentral:rRNA from 1 species